GACGAACGCUGGCGGCGUGCUUAACACAUGCAAGUCGAACGGAAAGGCCCUGCUUUUGUGGGGUGCUCGAGUGGCGAACGGGUGAGUAACACGUGAAUAACCUGCCCUUGACUUUGGGAUAACUUUAGGAAACUGGGGCUAAUACCGGAUAGGAGCUCCUGCUGCAUGGGGGGGGUUGGAAAGUUUCGGCGGUUGGGGAUGGACUCGCGGCUUAUCAGCUUGUUGGUGGGGUAGUGGCUUACCAAGGCUUUGACGGGUAGCCGGCCUGAGAGGGUGACCGGCCACAUUGGGACUGAGAGACGGCCCAGACUCCUACGGGAGGCAGCAGUGGGGAAUAUUGCACAAUGGGCGGAAGCCUGAUGCAGCUACGCCGCGUGCGGGAUGACGGCCUUCGGGUUGUAAACCGCUGUCGCCUGUGACGAAGCGUGAGUGACGGUAAUGGGUAAAGAAGCACCGGCUAACUACGUG
rnacentral:rRNA from 1 species